AACGCACAUUGCACCCUCUGGUAUUCCAGAGGGUAUGCCUGUUUGAGCGUCAUUUCUCUCUCAAACCUUCGGGUUUGGUAUUGAGUGAUACUCUUAGUUAAACUGAGCGUUUGCUUGAAAUAUAUUGGCACGAGUGGUGCUGAGCAUGUCUCUGAAUAUCAAUGUAUUAGGUUUAUCCAACUCGUUGUUUUUCUUGGGCCGACUCUGUACUAGGCUCUGCCUUAUAAAUCCAAACAAGUUUGACCUCAAAUCAGGUAGGAUUACCCGCUGAACUUAA
rnacentral:misc_RNA from 1 species